rnacentral:lncRNA from 1 species
ACAGCUUUAAGCUUCACAUUUAAUCACUUCCCACAAGGAGAAGCAGGCUGGGUGUGCUCCAGGCUCCGGAAGCUCCAGCAGCCCCAGAGAUGAGGGUGGUCUGCCCCCCACACUCCCUGCCCCAGCCCAUCCUGGACCUUCUCCUGACACACAGCAAACCACACUUAGCUGUCAUUGAUGAAUCGGAGCCUCUGCCAGACAGCCGGCCAAGCCGACGCUAACUCACCCCACAGCCUGAAAUAGAAACUCGCUCGUUUUCCAGUGUGUGACAAAGAAGGAAGGACAUCAACUGGGAGUGGCCCAGAAGCCCGAAGCUGAGAGGACAAAGCUCACUGGGCACAGGAAAAGAGAGUGGAGGGGCUGCUGCCCCAGGAAGGCUGGGCCCACCCCUCCUCACAGGCACCCUGAUGCCUGUUCAGCUUGGCUCUCUGGAUGACAGGCAGAAGCCCCAGUUGCUUCUCUUCUCCACGGUGAUUUCUGCAUACUUUAUCCAAACCCCCUCCCCACCGCUGUUCAGUUUCUGGCUCCUCUUCCUGCCCGUGCUCUGAGGCCAGCUGGGGGCCUCCCAGGUGACUCCUGCUGCUGCUGUCACUGGACCCUGACGCUGUGCCGCACCCGAAUUCCUCCGAAUGGAGCCUUGGCCAGAGCAAGGCGUGCCGUGUAGAGGAGCGGAUCUGAGCCUGGCAGGAGAUCGCUAAAACCUUUGCCCUUCACACAAACGCGGAAGCACGGGGCGGGUGCUGAAGAGCCAAGCAAGUGUCCCCCAUUUCCUUCCAAGGCAGAGCAGCAGCCCAGGGAGGCCCAGUUUCCAUCGCGGCAGAAGGGCAGAAGAGUGGGGGAGGUCCCAGGACCACAGCCCAGGGGACACUCAGGAUGCGCCAGGAAGGACAUGGCAGACAGGCCCUUUAGGUGGAAAAGCAACCCUCAGCUGCCCAGAGAGCGGCCCCUCCAGGCCCUCCCCGCCGUCUGCAAAGCUCUUCAGCUGGGAGAGGAGGAAAGGGUUUGUUCUUGACCUCCUUCCUUUCCUUUCUUCUCCACUGUCCACCAGAGAGCAGGAAGACAGGCUGAUGCUCUUGUUAAAGAUGAAGGCAUAAUUCACAUGCCAUAAAAUUCACCAUUUUAACCAU